rnacentral:rRNA from 1 species
CCCUUAGAUGUUCUGGGCCGCACGCGCGCUACAAUGGUCUUCGCAAACGGAUGCAUUCUCGAAGGAGAAUGCCAAUCUUGGAAUCUAUGCCUUGGUCGGGACAGUUGCUUGCAAUUUUUCGACUCGAACCAGGAAUUCCUUGUAAUCGUGAUUCAUCACAUCACGAUGAAUACGUCCCUGCCCUUUGUACACACCGCCCGUCGCUCCUACCGAUCGAAGAGUUAGGUGAAUUGUUUUGAUCGAUAAGAUUUGACUAUGGUCAACUCUCGUUGUGAAAUUCUGUGAAUCUGACUGUUUAGAGGAAGGAAAAGUCGUAAC